rnacentral:rRNA from 1 species
AGUGAACGCUGGCGGUAGGCCUAACACAUGCAAGUCGAACGGCAGCACAGUAAGAGCUUGCUCUUACGGGUGGCGAGUGGCGGACGGGUGAGGAAUACAUCGGAAUCUACUUUUUCGUGGGGGAUAACGUAGGGAAACUUACGCUAAUACCGCAUACGACCUACGGGUGAAAGUAGGGGAUCUUCGGACCUUGCGCGAUUGAAUGAGCCGAUGUCGGAUUAGCUAGUUGGCGGGGUAAAGGCCCACCAAGGCGACGAUCCGUAGCUGGUCUGAGAGGAUGAUCAGCCACACUGGAACUGAGACACGGUCCAGACUCCUACGGGAGGCAGCAGUGGGGAAUAUUGGACAGUGGGCGCAAGCCUGAUCCAGCCAUACCGCGUGGGUGAAGAAGGCCUUCGGGUUGUAAAGCCCUUUUGUUGGGAAAGAAAAGCAGCAGGUUAAUACCCCGCUGUUCUGACGGUACCCAAAGAAUAAGCACCGGCUAACUUCGU